rnacentral:rRNA from 1 species
AUGGCGCCGCCAUGUUUCUCGAAGAAGCCGCCGUCGGGGAGCGCCGGGGACCCAGCGGAGCCUUGCGGAGGCGCCUCCUCUACUCUCUCUCCAAUCCCGCCGAUGCUCUCUUCAGCUCCUCAUCCUCUUCUCCCCCCAGAUGGAUGGAAUGCUUCUUCAUUAUCCGAAAGAAACAGCCCACCCUGCCGACCGGAUGUUAAUUCCUAUGGUGGCAAAGAAGCCAGAUAUCCGGGCCCAGACCUUCCAGAGGACAUUUGGUGUCGUAUACACUUCCUACUACCAAUGCAAGAUGCUGCCCGUGCCGCCUGUGUUUCUCGCUCCUUCCUACACUCCUGGAGAUGCCACCCCAAUCUCACCUUCACCAACGAAACGAUGUGCCCCAAAGAAGAUUUAAAAGCAGCGGGAUCGAACGCUAUUAUAAGAGACUACAACAACAAAAUUGACUGUGUUCUGAGGAACCGCUUGUGUACUGAUGCCGUGACGAAACUCAAGCUUGACUACCACGUUCCUCCUGAUGGUGCUGAAUCGUAUCAUCGUCUUGAUAGCUGGCUCCAGAUGGCUGUUACGCCCAGGACCAAAGAACUCGAGCUUCUAGUAUGGUCGAAAGAGGCGAGCUUUGAUUUCCCAUGCACACUACUAUCUGACAGGUGUGGGGGCUCGAUUCAGAAGCUUCUCCUUUUCAGAUGUGCCUUACGUCCCACAUUUCAACUUGGUUUGAGAAGCCUGAAAACUCUGCAUCUGCGCGAUGUGCGUGUUACGGGGGAGGAGUUAGGGUGCCUUCUGUCCAGUUCCACUGCUUUGGAACACCUGAAGCUCGUAUAUUGUGAUGAUAUAGUUCGCCUGGAGAUACCUUGCCUGCUGCAGAGGCUCAGCUUCCUGGAGGUGUCUGGAUGCACGAAUCUUCAAGUGAUAGAGAACAAAGCUCCAAAUCUCUCCAGAUUUUACCUUGAAGCAGGUGAACUGGUGCAAGUCUCGUUUGGAGAGUCGAAAGUGAAGGACGUGCAGUUGAGGCAGGGUUAUGCCAUCAAUUAUGCUAUUGAGAACCUUCCUUCACGUGUGCCGAAUCUUGAGACACUUAACAUACAAUCUUCUCAUGAGAUAGUCAAUUCCUCACUGGCAUCUAGCAAGUUCCUCCACCUCAAGUUCUUGAGUAUUUUUCUUAUUAGUGGAUCAUAUUUUCUCCAGGACUACGAUUUUUUGUCGUUGGUUCAUUUUUUUGAUGCUUCUCCUUCCCUCGAGACGUUUCGCUUGUAUGUAAUCGAGCAUUCCAUGGAUGACUGGUUUGAGGGAGAUCCCUCGUCUCUGAGGCGAAUGCCACAACACUGCCAUGGGAGCCUCAAGAGUGUGAAGAUCAUUGGUUUCUUCCCCCAAAAGAGCAUGGUUGAGCUAACAUGUCAUCUUCUCGAGAAUGCAAUGUCACUUGAGUCCCUUACAGUGGAUGCUAGUCCAGCUAAUUACAGGUGUUCUGGCAGUAAACCGGGCAGAAAAUGCAGUCCCCUGACAACUACAGCUAUAGUGAAGGCACAUAAAUCAGUCUUGGCUGUGAAAAAAUACAUUGAGGGGAAUGUUCCCUCUACAGUCAAGUUAAAUGUUCCGGAGCCUUGCGGACGAUGCCAUCGUUUGAACGAAUCAGGUGUCAAACCAUUCUAUCUGAUGUUUAAUGAUUAG